AAAGUCUAGCCUGCCCACUGAAAUAGUUAAAGGGCCGCGGUAUUUUGACCGUGCGAAGGUAGCAUAAUCAUUAGUCUUUUAAUUGAAGGCUUGUAUGAAUGGUUGGACAAAAAGUAAGCUGUCUUUAAAUAAAAUUUGAAUUUAACUUUUAAGUGAAAAGGCUUAAAUGAAUUUAAGGGACGAUAAGACCCUAUAAAGCUUUACAUUAAUAAAAUAAUAUAUAAAAUAUUAAUGUAGAAAGUUCUUUAUUUUUUAGAUGUUUUGUUGGGGCGACAGAAGUAUAAAUGUAACUGCUUUGAGAUUUAUAAUCAGUAAUUUCUGUAAGAAAAAUGAUCCUUUGUAAGGAUUAGGAGAUUAAGUUACUUUAGGGAUAACAGCGUUAUUUUUUUUUGAGAGUUCAUAUCGACAAAAAAGUUUGCGACCUCGAUGUUGAAUUAAAGUUUCCUUUUAAUGUAGCAGUUAAAACGGAGGGUCUGUUCGACC
rnacentral:rRNA from 1 species